rnacentral:ncRNA from 1 species
GGUGGUAGGCCCACCGAAAUCGCCAUACAGGUGGAGAUUUCAAACUACCUUAAGGUGCUAUAGUCAAAAGCUAUGGUAUUGAGCGUUAAGGAAAAGGCAGUAUAGAACUGUCAGGU